rnacentral:rRNA from 1 species
UACGGGGGAGCAAGCGUUGUUCGGAUUUACUGGGCGUAAAGGGCGCGUAGGCGGUCGUGACAAGUCACUUGUGAAAUCUCCGGGCUUAACUCGGAACGGUCAAGUGAUACUGUCGGACUAGAGUACAGAAGGGGCAACUGGAAUUCUCGGUGGUAGCGGUGAAAUGCGUAGAUAUCGAGAGGAACACCUGCGGCGAAGGCGGGUCUCUGGGCCGUAACUGACGCUGAGGAGCGAAAGCGUGGGGAGCGAACAGG